GACGAACGCUGGCGGCGUGCUUAACACAUGCAAGUCGAACGGAGUGCUCAUGACAGAGGUUUCGGCCAAUGGAUUGAGUUACUUAGUGGCGGACUGGUGAGUAACGCGUGAGGAACCUGCCUUUCAGAGGGGGACAACAGCUGGAAACGGCUGCUAAUACCGCAUGACGCAUCGAGGGGGCAUCCCCUUGAUGCCAAAGAUUUUAUCGCUGAAAGAUGGCCUCGCGUCUGAUUAGCUAGUUGGUGAGGUAACGGCCCACCAAGGCGACGAUCAGUAGCCGGACUGAGAGGUUGACCGGCCACAUUGGGACUGAGAUACGGCCCAGACUCCUACGGGAGGCAGCAGUGGGGAAUAUUGGGCAAUGGACGCAAGUCUGACCCAGCAACGCCGCGUGAAGGAAGAAGGCUUUCGGGUUGUAAACUUCUUUUGUCAGGGAACAGUAGAAGAGGGUACCUGACGAAUAAGCCACGGCUAACUACGUGCCAGCAGCCGCGGUAAUACGUAGGUGGCAAGCGUUGUCCGGAUUUACUGGGUGUAAAGGGAGCGCAGGCGGGUCUGCAAGUUGGAAGUGAAACCCAUGGGCUCAACCCAUGAACUGCUUUCAAAACUGCGGAUCUUGAGUGGUGUAGAGGUAGGCGGAAUUCCCGGUGUAGCGGUGGAAUGCGUAGAUAUCGGGAGGAACACCAGUGGCGAAGGCGGCCUACUGGGCACUAACUGACGCUGAGGCUCGAAAGCAUGGGUAGCAAACAGG
rnacentral:rRNA from 1 species